AGCCCAGCAGAUGAGGAGGGCCGACAUCGGAGGAUACGGUGAAUUGAGCCCAGCAGAUGAGGAGGGCCGACAUCGGAGGAUACGGUGAUUUGAGCCCAGCAGAUGAGGAGGGCCGACAUCGGAGGAUACGACACAGUCCAGGAGGAUAACUCACAUCUCUGCUGAGCAGAAGAGACGUUUCAACAUCAAGCUAGGCUUUGAUAGUCUGCAGAGUCUCGUCACCACGAUGAGCUCUCAGCGAAGUAUAAAGCAAGGCCACGACGCUACAUAAGACAACAGAGUACAUCGGUCAGAUUCAGCAGGAGAGAGCUCAGCUGCACGAGGAGGCUCAGAGACUCAGAGGCUAGAUUCUGCUCCUUUAACUCUGCCAUCAAUGUGUACCAGCUGCAGCUGCCCGUCACCUGCCAACGCUUUGACCACAUGAGGGAGAAGUUCAGAGAGUACGACCGGGCACGGACUCUACAGAACUGGUGGUUCUGGAUCGUAUCCCUCUCCACUCUCCCUGGCCACAGGAACCUUUAGGAUAAAAGUUCAGUGUUAGAUCUGGGCCUGUAUUCACAGCAACAAUAACAACAAUGUCUCAGUGUAGGAAUGCUGACAUAGGGAAGGAUCUGCUUUUUAGAUAUUCAUAAAUAAGAUGAAAUGGAUCCUCAUUACAAAUGCUAAGAUGCCUUUUUACAUAUGGCUCCUGGAGUGGCUCACAGAGGAAAAGACAAGUCACACAAUAUGGUUAUGUAAAUAUCCUGUACUGUAUCUAUGUGUGUGUGUGUGUUGUCGUAGAUAAUAAAACAUCAAUCAGAAUGGUUCUUUCCUAAACACUAGCUCAGUUCAGCAUCAUCGUA